rnacentral:tRNA from 1 species
GCCCCGGACCUAGCUCAGUAGGCAGAGCGUGUGGCUGUUAACCACAAGGUCGAUGGUUCGAACCCAUCGUGGAGCG